GACGCGAUGGCCGAGUGGUUAAGGCGGUGGUCUUAAGAACCACUUCACUUUGUGAUCAUGGGUUCGAGUAUGUGUGAUG
rnacentral:tRNA from 1 species